CACGUCCGUCCAUCCGUCUCCAUUAUUGUGUCUGCUUUAUAAAUCCUAUACCAACUGAAGGAUUUUCUUCAAACUUGGCUCAAAUGUUCACCUCAACAAGGGAAUGUGCAGAACCCAUGUUGCCCAUGUGUCAGCUAAAAGUCAAGGUCACAAUUGAAGGUCAGAUAUCAAACAAUCAAAUAUUAGACAGUAUGUCGUGUCAGCUCUGUAAGUCCUACACUAAUUGAAAGAUUUUCUUCAAACUUGGCUCAAAUGUUCAACUCAACAAGGGGAUGUGCAGAACCCAUGUUGCCGAUGUGUCAGCUCAAGGUAAUGGCCACAAUUGAAGGUCAAAUAUCAAAUAAUCAAAUAUUAGAGAGAAUGUCAUGUCCGCCCUGUAAGUCCCACACUUAUUGAAAGAUUUUCUUCACUCUUGGCUCAAAUUUUCACCUCAACAUAAUUAUGUUCAGAACCCAUGUUGCCCUUUUGCCGGCUGAAGGUAAAAGUCACAAUUGAAAGUCAAAAAUUGACUUGGCACUCUUAGAUUGAUAAAUAUAAAUAUGGGACAUAAGACUUUACCAAUUUUCACAACUAAGGAAAAAAAAGUCGAGCGAGCUGGCAUUUCUGUUUAAAUUCUUUUUAGCUCACCUGUUACAAAGUGACAGGGUGAGCUUUUGUGAUCGCUUUUCGUCCGUCGUCCGUCCGGCAUCUGUCCGUUAACUUUUACUUUAAAUAAUUGUUCAAAGAAUUUUAUUCCAUGCAGAACUCUGGUUGCCAUGAACAGAAAGAAGAAACUUUUAAAUAUCUUCUUUUAAAAAACACUAAGGCCUAGAGCUAAGAUAUUUAGCAUGAAACAUCUUCUAGUGUCUAACAAGUUUGUUCAAAUAAAAGCCCUGGGGUCAAAAUUGGCCCCACCCCAGGGGGUCAUUGAUUUUUCCUAUAAUGCAUGUAGUAAAAACAUAAAAAUCUUCUUUUAAAGAAUCCAAAGAGCUAUAGCUAAGAUAUUUAGCAUGAAAAAUCUUCUAAUGAGUGUCUUCCAAGUUUAUUAAAAUAAAAGCCCUGGGGUCAAAUUUGGCCCCGCCCCAGGGGUCAUUUAUUUUCCCUAUAUGCAAAUAGAAAAAACUUUAAAAUCUUCUUUUGAAGAACUCAAAAAGCUAGAGCUAAGAUAUGUAGCAUGAAACAUGUUCUAAUGGGUGUCUACUAAGUUUGUUCAAAUAAAAGCCCAGAGGUCAAAAUUGGCCCUGCCCCAGGGGUCAUUGAUUUUCCUUAUAUGUGAAAAGCAAAAACUUAAAAAAUCAUUUUUGAAAAAAAACAAAUAGUUAGAGUUUAGAUAUUAAGCAUGAAACAUCUUCUAGUGAGUGUCUACAAAGUUUGUUCAAAUAAAAGCCCUGGGGUCAAAAUUGGCCCUGCCCCAGGGGGUCAUUGAUUUUCCUUAUAUGUGUAUAGUAAAAACUUAAAAAUUUUCUUUGAAAAAACCCAAAUAGUUAGAGUUUAGAUAUUAAGCAUGAAAUAUCUUCUUGUAAGUGUUCAAAUAAAAGCCCUGGGGUCAAAACUGGCCACGCCCCAGGGGUGUCAUUGUUUUUAACUAUAUGUGUAAAAAAAAAUCUUCUUUUAAAAAACCCAGUGAAUUAAAGCUUAGAUGUUUAGCAUGAAACAUCUUCUUAUGGGUGUCCAACAAGUUUGUUCAAAUAAAAGCCCUUGGGUUACAAUUGGCCCUGCUGGGGGGGGGGGAAGAAUCAUUGUUUUUCAUUAUAUGUGUGUAGUAAAAACUUAACAUCAUGAAACAUCUUCUGAUGGGUGUCUUCCAAGUUUGUUCAAAUAAAAGCCCUGGGGUUCAAACUUGCCCCGCUCCGGGGGCUUAUAUACAGGUGAGCGACCUCAGGGCCAUCAUGGCCCUCUUGGUUUACUCUGUUUAACGUUUUUGUUUUGCUGUUUAUUACGCAUACUAUUUUUAACAAAAACAAUUUAGAAGUUUGCACUUUAUAAAAAUAAUAGCACCAAUAUAUAAGUCCAGUUAAUUUUGUUAUUCUAUGAGCACCAAUAACAAAUUAACUUUUUUUUGUUCAAAUUCAAGUCCAUUAAUUUUGCUAACAAAAUAAUUCUUUAAACAACUUUAGUUUGGUCUCAAAUGUAUUUUUUGUUGACAGUAUAAUGUUUCCACUUGCUUUACAUGUGCUGGAAAUUUCACUAGCAUGGGAGUAGCCAGAUAAGAUGUACUAUGCGGAGCUUGACAUCAUUUAGCCUUUUGAAUAAUGUUGUAAAUCCAUAUACACUGCUAUAAUAAAUUAAAGAUAAUUGAAAUGAGAAAAACAUUAAAAAUAUGGUAUGAAAUGCAAGAUUACAUGUGUUAAAGUCAUUUUUUUGCACUUUUUCUUAUACAGUAUCUGUGGCAUAAUUGUCUUAUGGACACAUUUUUUACACUUUUUCUUAUACAGUCUCUGUGGCAUCAUUGUCUUAUGGACACAUUUUUUACACUUUUUCUUAUACAGUUUCUGUGGCAUCAUUUUCUUAUGGACACAUUUUUACACUUUUUCAUCAUUGUCUUAUGGACACAUUUUUUACACUUUUUCUUAUACAGUUUCUGUGGCAUCAUUGUCUUAUGGACACAUUUUUUUGGUUUUGUUUGCUAUGUUGCCAGUCAUACCAAUACUAUUAAGAUUAUAAUUAGAGAGAUUUUCAAGUUUUUCCUGCACAGGAAGACACCAUGUGCCCUUUCAAGCAUUAUUUCAAGCACAAGGGGGUACCUGACUGGAACAACUGACUUUCCUUUAGCAAAUUUGUAGGAUGAGAAAUUCAAGUUCUUUAUUUAGUUAACUUAUUCAUCGACUUGAUUUAAAGAAUAAUGUAAUUUAUAUUUUCCGGGACUGAUGGAGUGCACAAAGAAGAAAACUAGAGAUCAAUUGCAGCUGUUUGUAAUUUUGGAGUUGUUUGCAUUUCAUCAAAUGACAAUUCUUGACCUUCAAACAGCUCAGAUGAUACUGUAGAAUGCUCCAUGGAGUACUGUUUACCGAUUACCCUUUACCAGAAGAAGAUGUCAAUCAUGUCAACCUUGGACAGACAGCUCACUAAAUACUGUAGAGUGAUUAUAGAUGGACACUAUUUAGUUGAACAAAAAAAAAGACAUGGAGUGUAGGAAGAACUGUGGACAGUAUAGCAUCAAGACUGGGUAUUCAAAAUAACAACAAUGUACAAACAGCAAAGGUAU